rnacentral:rRNA from 1 species
UACAGAGGUCUCAAGCGUUGUUCGGAUUCAUUGGGCGUAAAGGGCGCGUAGGCUGCGGGGCAAGUCGGGUGUGAAAUCUCAGAGCUCAACUCUGAAACUGCACUCGAUACUGCUUUGCUUGAGGACCGGAGAGGAGAUUGGAAUUCACGGUGUAGCAGUGAAAUGCGUAGAUAUCGUGAGGAAGACCAGUGGCGAAGGCGGAUCUCUGGACAGUUCCUGACGCUGAGGCGCGAAGGCCAGGGGAGCAAACGGG